GGCCAUAUUUUCUGGCCGCCUUCUUGUCACUAAAGGGAAGAGAUGUGAGCGGUUCGUGUCGUUCGGUCCACUUCUUUGCUGUCCACUGCCUGGCUGGUCCACUGCUUGGCUGGUCCACUGCUUGGCUGGUCCAUUUCUCUACUGUCCACUGUUUGGCUGGUCUACUGUUUGGUUGGUCCACUUUUUGGCUGGUCCACUUCUUGACUGGUCCACUUCUUGACUGGUUCACUUCUUGACUGGUUCACUUCUUGACUGAUCCACUGCUUGACUGGUCCACUGCUUGGCUGUUGAAUGUUCUUUACAGGGAUGACAGAAAAUGGAGGAGCGGAGGAGACAGGAUGACCACAUACGUAUGGUACGGGUGCGGCAGCUACACCAUAGGGAGGGGAAGGCCAGAUGUACCGAAUAUGGUCUUUUGGGGAAGCCCUCGCCAGAUGUCCACAACCCAGCAACACUCCGUCGGCACUCUGCUCCGCCGGGUAUAUGAGGAGGCACGCCCCGAUCAGUGCCACACUUCGACAUGGAGCGACGCACCCUGCUGAUUGUCCUGCUAGUGUGCUGCGCCCUUCUCCUCGCCGUCAGCACCGUGGCUGAGCCAAGAGGUGCUCGUUCUAGCGGUGGUUCUCGCUCUGGUUUUAGAUCUCGCAGUCGUUUUAGAUCUCGCAGUCAUACUCGGUAUGGCAGUGGCUCCAGUUAUAAUAAUGUCUACGGCCAAACAACGACCACCCACAGACCUUGGUACUACGGCUUGAUUGUGGGGUGAGGUGACUGAUUGCCACUCAGCCACACCUACUGCCCACCCUCUGGUAAACCAGACAGGAAGACAGGAGCCAUGUCCGGCGCGGCAGGCAGUCCUCCACACAACACGGACCGCUCUCUGUUACUGAAAUCUUGAACGCUACAAUGUUACCAUUACGCUUAUCAAAGCUAUUUGUUCUUUUCAUUCAUUGCUGAAUAAAGGCAUAGCACAC